UCCUAUGGAGCAGUUACACUCUGUAUCGCAUGGGGUCACCAGGAGUUGGAAUCGACUCAACAGCAACGGGUUAUGUGGGCUCUUAAGCAAUCACUAGCUCCUCUGGUAUAAAAUUCAUCUGCCCCUAAAAACCUGUUCCCCUUCCGUUUCAUUCCUAUUACAUAAAAUACCAAAACCUUAGAAUCAUCUUCUGUUCCUUCCUCAUCCCUUACUCCCAAGGGCUACAGUUUCAGUGUUCCCAAUUCUACCUUCAAAAAUGUCUUUCAGAUCUAUGCAACCUAUUUUGAAAUGAGUAAAAAAAAAAAAGGAUGGAUAGAUAGAUAGAUAUGUGAUAAAGCAAAUAUGUAUAGUAAAAUGCUAAUUAUAGCAUCUAGGUAGUGAGUACAUGUGUUCACCGUACAAUUCUUUCAACUCUUUUAUACUUGAAAUUUUUAAAUAAAAUAUUGAAGAAAAAAAAAAGGUCUCUACAUUCUGCCUUGAGUACUAUGCUCUUUCAAGAACUAUUUAUACCAGCACAAACUGACAACAGCAACUCAAAAGACCUACAGGUACCUCAGGGGGCAGUGGGUUUAUGUUAAUGGGGAAGGGACAACUCAGGAGGGUAAGAAUAGCUGCACAACUCAAAGAAUGUAAUCAGUGUCACUGAACUGUACAUGUGGAAGCUGUUGAAUUGGUGUGUGUUUUUGUGUUUUUGCUGUAUAUAUUCUCAGCAAAAAUAAAUAAAUAAAUUUUUUAAACAUAUAGGAAGGACAUCGUAUUUUUAUGGCAAUUUACUCUGGGGAGGGAGGGGCAUGAUCCUGAGAGCAAAGGUAAAUUUAACUUUAUUGCAUGUUUACUUUUUAGUAGGAAAAAAGAUCUGAAGCAAAUAUAACAAAAGUUACACAAAAGAAGACUUCAGCUUCUGUCUUGGUACACUCUCUUGGAUGAUUCGCUCUGGGAAAAGCCAGCUGCCACGUCACAGGCACUCAAACAGCCUAUGGAGAAGUCCAUGUGGUAAGCAACAAGUCCUCCAGCCCUAACCAGUGAACAACUGAGGGCUGCCAACACCCCAGUCAAGCCGUGAGGUGACUGCAGCCCUAGCCAACAGACUGACUGCAACCUCGUGAAACACCUUAAGCCACUCCACUCCCCGGUUCUUCACUCUGAGAAACUGUUGGAGAUAAUAAAGGUGUGGGGUAAUUUGUUAUACAGCAAUAGAUAACGAAUACACCUCUCCUCCAAUCUACUCCUCACACUGCCAGCAGUAUUGUCCUAAAAUACAAUGGUGUCAGUCUGCGCCUCCCUGCUUCAGUAGCAUCUUACUGUCAAGAGAACGCUGGUGAUCACCACACCUUACCUUGUGCUACAGGUUAACUCGGUUUUGUACAGACUUUCUGUGCAUAUGAGAACUUCCUGUAAAUGUGUCAUUGAUUAGUAAUAGGUUUUUGUUUUUUUUAAUUUAGGCAUGCAUAUGUACAAAUUACAGAAUACAUUCGUCACAAUCAUUUAUGCCAGACAAGUCUCACAUACCUCGUCUUAGUCUUUGUUCUCAUCACUGUGUAAGGGUGAGUCAUGCAAUUGUAGUUAAGUAUGCAACCUAUCUUAGAAACUUUGGCAUUUUUAGGUUUGGGUGUUAUUGUAUUAGUUUCCCAGGGCUGCUCCAACAAACUACCACAAAAUGGGUGGCUACAAACAACAGAAACUUAUUCUCUCACAGUUCGGUAAGCUAGAAAUCCAAAAUUAAGCUGUUAGCAGAGUUGGUUCCUUCCAGAGGCUUGAGGAAGAAUCUGUUCCACGCCUGUCUCCUAGCUUCUGGGGGUUGCUGGUAACCCUUGGCGUUCCUUGGCUUGUAGUUGUGUCACUCCAAUCUCUGCCUCCAUCAUCACAUGGCCUUCUUAUAGGGACACCAGUCAUUGGAUUUACGGCCACUCUAAUCCCCUCUGACCUCAUCUUAAUUGAUUAUACUACACAGACCCUAUUUCCAAAUAAGGUCACAUUCUGAGGAUCCAGGUGGAUAUGAAUUUUGGGGGGAACACUACUCAACCCAGCACAGUUGCUUCUUGUGUGAUUUUUAUAGUUGUGAUCAUAACUACAAGUAGCUCUUAGAUUAGGGAUUCAAUUUAAAAUGAAACUUUCCUACUUUACUCUUCCUAAGCUUCCAAUUAAAUUCAAGUGUGCAGAGAUCAUUAGGUAGAGCUAUUAAGAAAACUUUUAUUUUUUCCAAGUAAUCCCUGGGAAUCAAUAUUUUCUUCAUAUAGAAAAAACAACAAAAAAAAAAAAACUGGUUUCUUCUUUACUCUAGUUUUAAUUUUAUUUUACUUCCCAAAAUAGCCUCACUGGACUCUCUAAUCAACAUUAGAUACUAAAAAAUAAAUUUAGAAGUAUUUUACGAAUUUAUAUUAAACACUAUUUUAUUUGUUUUAUAUAUAUUGAGGUUCUUAGUAAGAUUCCAUUUUUUAAAAAACAGUGCUUCCAGAAAGCUAAACACAGUUCAAGCAUUCAAUCCAGCAAUCUCACUCAGAGGUAAUUACACAAAUGGAAUGAAAACUUAAGUCCACAUAAAAACUUGCACAAAUGUUUAUACCAGCCUUACUCAUAAUUGCCAAAAACUUGAAGCAGCCAAGAUGUCCGUCGGAAAGUGAAAGGAUAAAUGAACGUAAUACAUUCAUACAGUGAAGUAUUUUAUAGUGAUAAAAAGAACAGAACUAUCAAGCCGUGAAAAAAUAAGGAGGAACGUUAGAUGCAUAUUGCUAAGUCAGAAAAGCCAGUCUGAAAAAGGGGCAUACUAUAUGACUCCAGCUAUAUCACAUUCUGGAAAAAGCAAAAUUAUAAAGACAGUGAAAACAUUAGUAGUUGCCAGGAAGUCAGGGAGAGAGGGAGGGAUAAAGAGUUGGAUUGUAGGGCCUUUUUAGGGCAGCGAAACCAUUCAGUAUAGUACUAUAAUUGCGGACACGAUAGUAAGCAUUGUUGAAGACCCAUAGAACCACACAACCCAAAAAGUGAACAUGCAUAGAGUCACCAUGAGUCACAAUAAACUCAAUGACACCUGAUUUUAGGAGUCCCUGGGAGGUGCAAAUGGGUAAGUGCUCUGCUACUAACCAAUCAGUUGGUGGCUUGAAUCCUCUGAGAGGCACCUUGAAAGAAAGGCCUGACAAUCUACUUCCAAAAAAUCACCCACUGAAAAUUCUAUGGAGCACAGUUCUACUCUGACACACUCGGAGUGGCUAUGAGUCAGAACUGACUCAAUGGCAAAUGGUUUGGUUUUAUUGGUUUGAGCAGUGCAAAUGGUUAACGUGCUCAGCUGCUAACCGAAAGGCUGGAGGUUCAAGUACACCCUGAGCACUACAGAAGAAAGGGCUGGUGAUCUACCUCCCAAAAACCAGCCAUUAAAAACCCUGUGGAACACAGUUCUACUAUGACACACAUGGGGUUGCCAUGAGUCUGGUGUCAGCUCAAUGGCAACUGGUUUUAAUGUAAACUAUACGGAAGCAGUGCUUCAGGGGUCGAAUUCUUGCCUUCCACACAGGAGACCUGGGUUCAAAUCUCAACCAAUGCAUCUCAUACGUAGUCACCACCUGUCUGUCAGUGGAGGCUAUGAUGCUGAACAUGUUUCUGUGGAGCUUCCAAACUAAGACUAGGAAGAAAGACCUGGCAAUCCACUUCCAAAAAUCAGCCAAACUUUCCAAUCCACAACUGAUCAUGGGGAUGGCGCAGCACUGGGCAGUGUUUGUACAUGAGCUUGCCUUAAGCUGGGGGGACUGACUCAAAGGCAGCUAAUAACAACACGGACUUUAGGUAAUAAUGUAUUGAUACUGACAUUGAUUCAUCACGUGUAACAAACAGACCUCAGGAAUGCAAGAUGUUAACAGGAGAAAUGAUGUGCAGGGGGAGGGGGCACAUGCAAACUUGGUACUCUCUGCAUCAUUUUUCUGUAAACCUAAAACUGCUCUUUUUAAAAAAAAAAAAAAAAAUUCUAUAAAAAAAAAUACACACACAAC